rnacentral:rRNA from 1 species
UGCAAGUCGAACGAUGAACCUCCUUCGGGAGGGGAUUAGUGGCGAACGGGUGAGUAACACGUGGGCAAUCUGCCCUGCACUCUGGGACAAGCCCUGGAAACGGGGUCUAAUACCGGAUACUGACCCGCUUGGGCAUCCAAGCGGUUCGAAAGCUCCGGCGGUGCAGGAUGAGCCCGCGGCCUAUCAGCUUGUUGGUGAGGUAAUGGCUCACCAAGGCGACGACGGGUAGCCGGCCUGAGAGGGCGACCGGCCACACUGGGACUGAGACACGGCCCAGACUCCUACGGGAGGCAGCAGUGGGGAAUAUUGCACAAUGGGCGAAAGCCUGAUGCAGCGACGCCGCGUGAGGGAUGACGGCCUUCGGGUUGUAAACCUCUUUCAGCAGGGAAGAAGCGAAAGUGACGGUACCUGCAGAAGAAGCGCCGGCUAACUACGUGCCAGCAGCCGCGGUAAUACGUAGGGCGCGAGCGUUGUCCGGAAUUAUUGGGCGUAAAGAGCUCGUAGGCGGCUUGUCACGUCGGUUGUGAAAGCCCGGGGCUUAACCCCGGGUCUGCAGUCGAUACGGGCAGGCUAGAGUUCGGUAGGGGAGAUCGGAAUUCCUGGUGUAGCGGUGAAAUGCGCAGAUAUCAGGAGGAACACCGGUGGCGAAGGCGGAUCUCUGGGCCGAUACUGACGCUGAGGAGCGAAAGCGUGGGGAGCGAACAGGAUUAGAUACCCUGGUAGUCCACGCCGUAAACGGUGGGCACUAGGUGUGGGCGACAUUCCACGUCGUCCGUGCCGCAGCUAACGCAUUAAGUGCCCCGCCUGGGGAGUACGGCCGCA